rnacentral:rRNA from 1 species
GACGAACGCUGGCGGCGUGCUUAACACAUGCAAGUCGAACGGUGAAGGGACUGGUUUUGCUGGUCCUGGAUGAGUGGCGAACGGGUGAGUAACACGUGAGUAACCUGCCCCCUUUUUCUGGAUAACCGCAUGAAAGUGUGGCUAAUACGGGAUAUUCUGGGUCUGUCGCAUGGUGGGCCUGGGAAAGAUUGCGCCUUUUUUGGUGUUUUUGGUGGGGGAUGGGCUCGCGGCCUAUCAGCUUGUUGGUGGGGUGAUGGCCUACCAAGGCGGUGACGGGUAGCCGGCCUGAGAGGGUGGACGGUCACACUGGGACUGAGACACGGCCCAGACUCCUACGGGAGGCAGCAGUGGGGAAUAUUGCACAAUGGGCGCAAGCCUGAUGCAGCGACGCCGCGUGAGGGAUGGAGGCCUUCGGGUUGUGAACCUCUUUCGCCAGUGAAGCAGGCCUGCCUCUUUUUGUGGGUGGGUUGACGGUAGCUGGAUAAGAAGCGCCGGCUAACUACGUG